ensembl:lncRNA
CUUGAGGCUUGGCUUGGAGCUCAGGGACUGGAGGCUUGACUUGGAUCUAAGGGGCUUGAGGCUUGGCUUGGAGCUCAGGGACUGGAGGCUUGACUUGGAUCUAAGGGGCUUGAGGUUUGGCUUGGAGCUCAGGGACUGGAGGCUUGGCUUGGAGCUCAGGGACUGGAGGCUUGGCUUGGAGCUCAGGGACUGGAGGCUUGGCUUGGAGCUCAGGGACUGGAGGAUUGGCUUGGAGCUCAGGGACUGGAGGCUGGACCUGGAGCUCAGGGACUGGAGGCUGGACCUGUAGCUCAGGGGCUGGCGGCUGGACCUGGAGCUGAGGGGCUGGCGGCUGGACCUGGA